UCUAUUCCUCUCUCUCUCUCCCUAACAUUCUGUUUCUCUCACUCCAUCUCUCCUUUCUCUCUUUGCUGUCCCUCUCUUACGUUCUGUUUCUCUCUCUCACUCUGUCUCUCUCCCUAACAUUCCGAUUCUCUUACUUUCUCACCGUCUCUCCUUUCCCACAUUCCUUCUCUUUAACUCUGUCUCUCUCGCUCUGCCUCUGUCGCUGUCUCUCUCCCUUACAUUUGUUUCUUUCAAUUGCUCUCUUUUCUGUCUCCCUCCUUUCUCUCUUGUUCUGUCUUUUCCCUUUAAUUAUGUUUCUCUCACAUCUCCCCUUUCUCAUUCUCUGCAUUUUCCUUACUCUCUGUUUCUCUCACUCUCUCACUCUAUCCCUCACCCUCGUGAUCUGUCUCUCUCCCUUACAUUUGAUUUCUCUCGCUCCCCUUACUUUAUCUCCCCCGUCUCUUCUUUCAUCUAUGGUACUCUCUCUCACUCAAUGUUUCUCCCCUCUCUGUCUUAUCUUUUAUUAGCACUUUCCCUAAUUCUCUUAUUUUAUCUGCGUCUUCCCCACUGCCCUAUCCCUUCCUUAUUGGCUCUAUAGCAUCCUUUCUUUCAUCCUCCCUUUCUUUCAGUCUAUUUUCUUCUCUCCCACUCCUCGUUCUCUCUCUCUCCAACAGAACACAGUGGCCUGCGUCAUCCUCUCAGUGUCAGGCAGAGGGAGACAGGGAGACAAGCAGGCUUCCAUGUCUUCUCCCUGCACCUCCUCAACGUCCACCUCUACUUCAGACUCUGAGGCCUCAUCUUCACUGUCACUGUCCAAUCUUGUUGAGGAUGGCUCAUUGUCCGGAUGGCCACCAAUUUUUCAACCCUUGUAUUGGUCAGCCUGUUGAGUGAUUCGGUAUUCCCAAACAAGUUGAGCUCUGAGGCGGCUGAUGUUGGUGGAAUUUGGAGGAUGAUGGUGGCAACAGGGGAAAGAGCCUCAGAUCCACAAAGUCGAUCAUCAAAGGUUUUUGUCCUGCUGAAAGGUGAAUUCGUCUCCAGUGUCUGUUGGAAAGCAGACUGAACCAGGAUUCAUCUAGGUUUUUGCCUGCGCUUAGCUCUAUUCCAUUUAUUUGAUCAUGAAAAGUCCUUGCCGAUGACAAGCAUACCCAUAACAUGAUGCAGCCGCCACCAUGUUUGAAAAUAUGAAGAAGUGGUACUCAGUGAUGUG